rnacentral:rRNA from 1 species
AGACUGGCACUCGGCAUGGACGAAGUCUGACCGAGCAACGCCGCGUGAGCGAUGAAGGCCUUCGGGUCGUAAAGCUCUGUUGUCAGAGAAGAACAAGUACCGGAGUAACUGCCGGUACCUUGACGGUACCUGACCAGAAAGCCACGGCUAACUACGUGCCAGCAGCCGCGGUAAUACGUAGGUGGCAAGCGUUAUCCGGAAUUAUUGGGCGUAAAGCGCGCGCAGGCGGUCUUUUAAGUCUGAUGUGAAAGCCCACGGCUCAACCGUGGAGGGUCAUUGGAAACUGGGAGACUUGAGUGCAGGAGAGAAAAGUGGAAUUCCACGUGUAGCGGUGAAAUGCGUAGAGAUGUGGAGGAACACCAGUGGCGAAGGCGGCUUUUUGGCCUGUAACUGACGCUGAGGCGCGAAAGCGUGGGGAGCAAACAGGAUUAGAUACCCUGGUAGUCCACGCCGUAAACGAUGAGUGCUAGGUGUUGGGGGGUUCCACCCUCAGUGCUGACGUUAACACAUUAAGCACUCCGCCUGGGGAGUACGGCCGCAAGGCUGAAACUCAAAGGAAUUGACGGGGGCCCGCACAAGCAGUGGAGCAUGUGGUUUAAUUCGAAGCAACGCGAAGAACCUUACCAGGUCUUGACAUCCUCUGACCACUUGAGAGAUCAAGCUUUCCCCUUCGGGGGACAGAGUGACAGGUGGUGCAUGGUUGUCGUCAGCUCGUGUCGUGAGAUGUUGGGUUAAGUCCCGCAACGAGCGCAACCCUUGACCUUAGUUGCCAGCAUUCAGUUGGGCACUCUAAGGUGACUGCCGGUGACAAACCGGAGGAAGGUGGGGAUGACGUCAAAUCAUCAUGCCCCUUAUGACCUGGGCUACACACGUGCUACAAUGGGUGGUACAAAGGGUUGCGAAGCCGCGAGGCCGAG